GCAGAAACUAGAGAAAGAAGGAGCUGGCUUUUGCAGGCAGAGAACUCAAGCCUACAGACAACUUUUCUGUCCUCACCUUCUCUCAUCAGGCAUCAGGAAAGGCUAUCUGGAAAGCAUCAAUGACAAGUGGAAAGGACACUAUCUCCUUUCUGGGAACUGUUCUUUUCUUAAGAAUUUGGCUAGUACUAUCUUUUACUCUUCCAGAAUGAUGUGGUAUCACUGGAUCAACCUACAUCAUCAGGGGAAAUGUGAAUGGCAAGUCACCGUUGGAUGUAUUCUUUCCAGUUUAAAAUGGAUUCUCCAUGCACAGGUGGUUUGAAGAAGGAAGAAGGACAUUGAUAUCCAACAUCUUUGAAUCUCCCAGGUCUGCAGAAUAUCUCUUCUUUCCCCCUUCAUUGCCAUUAUGCUCAUUUGCAAUAUCAGUGCAAUUAAAGAUUGGAGCACGUUUCUCUCCCAGAUUCUCCCCAGUGUUAACAAGACUCUCAGUUUAGUCCAGCAAGUGGAAGCCACCACCAACUCCAUGGUGAGUGUCCUGCAAGAUCCUGAGCAAGACAGUUACUUACCAAACAGCCAGUCCAUGAAUUCCAGUAACUUUACCACUGGCCUGGACCACCUUUUCCAGUAUUCCUAUUCGGACAAUGACCAGCUUUACAAGGAAUACAAACCACCUCCACGCGAUGCCAUCCCUUUGCCCAAGGCAGUGCUCUACCUCCUUAUGGCAGCACUGGUGGUGGUGGCAGUUGCUUAUGCCAUUGUUGGGCAUCUCAUCAAGGAUCUUGUCCAUGAUUUGAUAGACUGGAUGUUUGGCCCCAACCCUGAAGACGACAGCAACAAGAGUGAUGUGAACUGUAUCAGCAAUAAUGUCAAUGAGAUGAGUGAGAUCCAGGAGACACACCAUCACCGGGAAAGCCAGUCUCAGGAUGUGGUCAUUUCCAUCAGUGAAAGUUCAUGUCAUCUACCCCAGCAGAUAUGAAUUGGCUAAUCCCUGGACAUGCACAGACCAUCUGGGAGGUGAUGGGGUAGAGGGCUGCCUUUUUAAAAUGUAUGUGUGUGGGGGGUGGUGGUUUCUCAAGCAAUUCUGUCAUUUUUGAUGAUACUUGUUAGAUUGCUGAGCAUCCUGAACUUUACUUAGGGAGAAUCCAACCCACAGUGCAUCUGAAGGAACACAAAGCAGACAGCUACUUUGUAUUUGAUCUCAAUUAACACUGCAAACUACAUGAAACCAAGGAGUUGCCAUUUUAAGGAACUCUCUACAUAAAUCAUUACAAGCAUUCUGUAGAAAGCAAAAGAAGGAGAAAACUUAUAGGACAUUGCAUGGAUGUUGUGGCUGCAUAGCAUCAGGCAAAGUCUUCUGUUUCUGACUGUAUGCCAUGCUUUCCCAUUGGGGGAGGUUAUAUGGAGAAUCAGAGGCAUUUACAAAUACAUUAUUUCUCAUCACUGUAGCACAGAGAUGGGUGAUCUUGCCUCACCAGUUGAAUUUCUUGUCCCAAUACUGGUAUUAAAGGCACCAGAGUAGCAUUUGCAUCAAUGGGGUGGUAUAUAAAUCAAAUAAAUAAGUAAAAACCUGCUUUGAGUCUGGACUU
ensembl:lncRNA